rnacentral:sRNA from 1 species
UGCUGGAGCCGCGGCGUUUCUCCUCGGGCCCGGGCUGCGCCUGCUCUCCCAGCGCCGGCCGCGCCCGUGGGUGCUCCGGACCGGACUCCGCGGGCGCAGCUGUCCCGACGCUGAGCUGGGGACCCGUGGGGUUCUCGGAGAGGGGCAGAGACCCAAGGGCUGCUGGUGGGGUGAGGCCAUCCCACGCAACUCGGGGGUCUGUGAAGCCACCAAGGAUCAAGGAAUGGAAGAGCUGCCUGGGAGUAGAGGGAGUUCUGUCGGGCUUCUUAAACUUGGAGACUUGGAAACAUGAGGCCUCGUAGGCCACACAGGUUUUCAGAGGCUCGCCUGGCAGAGGCCUUGAGCGUCCUGCUGGGUGGACUGUGGGCACCGAGCCACCAGGAGGCGACGUUGUGGACGUUUACCAGCGGGAGUUCCUGGCGCUGCGCGAUCGGUUGCACGCAGCUGAGCAGGAGAGCCUCAAGCGCUCCAAGGAGCUCAACCUGGUGCUGGACGAGAUCAAGAAGGCCGUGUCGGAAAGGCAGGCGCUGCGAGACGGAGACGGCAA